CCUGCACAAUAACAGGAGCAAAGGCUAACCCGUACGGCAAAACGUUAUAUUUAAAUAAGCCUAAAGCUGUAUUAAUUAAUAAAAACUUUUUAGAAGUUUCAUCCAAUUUGUACUGUUCAUAAGAUCAUGUGAAGUAAAGUUUGGAGAAAUAACGAGCUCCAGACAACCCAACGAAUAAUUCAUCCGGGUGUGGCAACGGAUACGGUUGAUAUUUACGAUGGGUGAGGCCCAUUCCGAAGUAUGGACCUUCUCCAGAGUACCACGACAAACUAUAGCCUUAAUUUCAUCGUUAACAACAUCACGAAGAGCUAAAGGUACAUGGUGAGCACGAAUAUAUCGAGGACGUGGGUCUUAACAAACAUGAACUUUGGCUUUGGUGUGAUUUACUGUUUGCCCCGGAGUUUCUUUGAAGUUCCCAGAAAAUUCAGGGUUGAGAACAUCGAUUUCACUAUGCUUUCCCUUGACUGUGCGGCACAGUGGAGCCAAAUUGUUUAGUCUUACAAGAUCUAAAUCUAAACAAGAAAAAAAUCCUAAGAUAGUGAAACAGGGAGACACGCCAAACCUAUUGUGGUUACCACCUCCGAAAACCUUUACAUAAGAAUUAUAUUUGAGAAGAGAGGCAUCUGGAACCAUAUGACCUGGGAUAAGUUACUGAGUCUGGUAACGCGCGUUACAAUCCGAGCUGUCUCACAGGCGAGGUGUUUUCGAAAAAAACAACACAGGCACAACAGCCGUAAAUAAAGAGGAGAAGAAGAAAGUCUUAAAUCAAGAUAAGAAGAAGCCGAUUUGGAUUGGAGAUUUCAAGAUGGCAACAACGAAUGAUAAUUCAACAUUUUCUAAGUGGCUAUACUUGCAUUAUUUUCAAUUUAUCAGAGAAAUAGACAAGAAUCUCACAGUCAGUUGCACUUUAUGUGCAGGUGGGAAGCCUGGUAAUAAAUAAAUUAUUACUCUACACAGAAGGUAAUGUUGUAAAGAAACGUAUUACUUUCAAAUGCAAGUAACUAGUAAUAUGAAAUAUAUUACAUUUUGGAAGUAA
rnacentral:misc_RNA from 1 species